UUUAUUGAUUGCUUCAAUCCAUUUCGGGGUGAUGCUAGAUAGUGUGAUUUAGUCCAUUCUUGUGCACACCAGCAAUCUAUUUAGCAUAUUGUUAUGCCAUAAAUCUGACCUUGCUCGCUCUUUGGCAUUAUCUGCUGUCGUCUAUUUUGUUGUGGCCUAUACUUGAAUCCAGGCAGAAAUCCCUGUUUUGAGUGUUGUGUAGGAUUACAGAAUCAUUCUUCUAGUUAAAAUUAUCAUGAGCUUUUUCCUAUAUGGACCAGUGGUGGUUCAAAUCUCAAUCAGGAUUGCACUACGGAUGAGCCUUGGAUUUACUGGUGUGGAGGAUAAGUUGGUUUGUUCUUGCGCUCUAUUUGGAUUUCUACUGCUUCUUACUUGUGUCAAUAUCUUCAUUCUAUGCUCUUGAGUUAUUGAUCUAUGAAGUCGUUCUGGCAUGCUUUAUUGAUUUGUUUGGAUUGGCAUAUAAUUGCAGGGGUAUAUAGAAGAUUAGCGUGCUCGCCUGUAUGAUAUUCUUAGCUGGUGGGUUGAUAUGCUGUUCAUCAAAAGUUUUAUUUCUCAUCUGAAGUUGAACAAGGGAUGUGUUUUGUGGGUUGCAAAAAUUAACCCGAUUGUAACUAUUCCCUUCCCUGUUUUUGGUGUUAAUUAACAUGUCAGACGUUG
rnacentral:lncRNA from 1 species